rnacentral:lncRNA from 1 species
CAGCUCUUACAAACUUGCCAUGUACAUUUUUAAAUGGGAAAAUAUGCAAAUGGAAAAAAUAUCCAAACAAAGCAAUGUAGAUAUAUGCACAAGUACAGAAACCAUUACCUUCGCAUUGAAUCCUGCUUAAAUACAGGUUUCAACAGGUUCAAGAGCCAAUUUUGGCAAGCUGUUUGAACAGCUGCUAACUUUGAGUGUGCAAGCAGUGUCAGCAUCAGUCAGUAGAACUAAUUAGAUGGUAAAGAGUAACUGUGUUUAGAAACGCUGCUCAUCUGGUACUGCAGCCGCCUGAUUUCCAGUUGCCACUCCCCCAUCAAUAAAUGAGAUUGUAGCACUGCUGUAUGUGGGAUAAAAAUAAAGUCACUUGCUCUCAGGACUUGUUGCAAAAUUCUUUAUGUACAAAUACUAAUUUCUUGCUGAAUUCUUAAGCAAAUACAAAUUGAACACUCAGCACAUCACUUUGGAGGAUGUUUCAAGAAGGGUAGAAGCACCUCAGUGGAAGAAAGAGUGGUUUACUGAAGUAAAUGGAACCUUUCAAGAGGACACCUUUAUAAUGCCAGAGAUAGGGAGAAAACGCAGAAAGUACUCAGACUGAAAAAGAUGUUCAGAAAGAAAAAAAAAAUUCUCUUCCAGGAAAUAAGCUCAUAUUACCAGAGUAAGCUCAGAAACAGUCUUAUCGAACGGGACUUUUUCCCUCAUACAGUACAGAGGAAACCAAUUCUGCUUUCUGCACACCUUCUCCAGUCCUUCCUUCAUCUCCACCAGCAGCCAUGGAGACCUGCCAACUGCAGACUGAAAAGGAAUCUUUCACCCAGUAGCUCAUCAGAGAAGAUCACAACCAUGAGCCAGUUGAGCAUAAACUAUUGCAGAACAAUACCCACAGCCUCCAUUUUCAGGAUGCAAAGAAGCAAAGAAAGGAAAUUCCCCAAAGUCUCCCGAUUCUGCUCAGAUUGAUGCCAUCCAUUUGCUUCCCUUUCAGGCAACUGCAGAGCGG